GUAAAUAAGCUGAGACCGUGAGACGUGACCGGCGUGCUGUAGUUAGUGGUCGUGGUGGUGAUGGCAGCAGACUGAGCGGUGGUCACACUCCCCUUGAAGCACGCCACUACACGCCCAGGAGGCCACGCCGCUCGACGCCCGGUAGGUCACACCGCCGAGCUACCCUCCACUCCCGGCCCUUCAGUGCUCCAGUGACACCCGCCCCGCGCUAUACAUACCGUGCAGAGACGCCGCAGGCAACCUCACCAAGACGGGACGGGCAAGGCAGAUCGGUGAGAGCAAGAGUGUCUGGGAGUGCAAACACUGGGACAAGGGGAUGACCACUCAACUUCCACAGCAACUCCAGCACUAAGGUGACAAGGCGCUGCAACAUGGAAGGAAAGAGCCAUCCUGAGAACAAAAGAGGUCUCAUGGGACAUCCAUAGUUGAAUGAGUUUCUUCACAGGGGGUGGCACUACAUUAUAGGCUUUUGAGGGGCCCCAGAAUAUAUCCCAGAAAUGGUGAUGUAUAUCAAUAAAUACAACAGCAAUACGUAAGAAAUACCUUUUAAAUGUUCUUGUGGUCUUAGAAGAAUCCAUCACCACCAAGACCUUCCAGCCUUCAUACAGCCCUUUAUUCUUCAGCUCCC